rnacentral:misc_RNA from 1 species
AGCGAAUUCACUGGAAUAUAGACAUAAAAGUAACAUCGUUCGAAUAUUCGUAGCAAGCCCAAUAACUCAUAAUUGCUAAAUGCGUAAAUUUGAUAUACAUCACACAGUAAUAAGAUGUUAUACUCAUGCCAUAAUGUUAACCUCUGGCCUUAAGCUCUGCAAGGCGCCUCGUUAAGUCGUCCUCGUCAACUUUCUCGGUUUCCUUGGUUGGCACUGCAUGUGACGCCGGCUGCGGUAGCCCGACGGAGACUUCCAGACCGUAAUCAUCCGCGACCUGCUGCAUCAAGCUGUUGACUUCUCCUUCCGGAGUGGAAAGCGACGUCGAUCCAGCCAUUGCAUUUUCCAUGAACUCUGCCUGAACCUCCAUAUUCACAAACUGCUUCUCAAACUGGUCCAUAGUCUCGGACAUCUUCUGCAAAUUCCCAGUCGCCAAAGAAGAUUCCAAGGACUUGACGAUCGACGCCAUGGACUUGUUGAUCGUGGUCAUCUUGGCCUGUGUAUCGAGCCGAGCCACAACAGCAUCAAGCCUGGAAGAAAGACGGAGAUAGUUCAUCUGUUCUGUUCGUUUACGGAUCGCGUUCUCCGCGUAAAUUCGGGCUCCGUCAACGUUCCCCUUCUCCAUAGCCUUCUUGAUCUUAAGCUUCUCGGAUUUCUCUUCCUUCUCGCACUUCCUGGCUUGGCGCUGCAGCGACUUCGAAGUGAACUUCAAUUCCAUUAUUUGAUUCAACAAUUUCUCGGUGUUCCCCAUGAUCGGAAGAAGCCCAAAAUGCGGUGGAAUUAGAUGAAGGAAUUGAUGAAAGACGCUAGGGCUGGAGAAGAAUUGAUUUGGG